rnacentral:rRNA from 1 species
AGAGUUUGAUCCUGGCUCAGGACGAACGCUGGCGGCACGCUUAACACAUGCAAGUCGAACGAGAGAAGAGAAGCUUGCUUUUCUGAUCUAGUGGCGGACGGGUGAGUAACACGUGAGCAAUCUGCCUUUCAGAGGGGGAUACCGAUUGGAAACGAUCGUUAAUACCGCAUAAUAUAAUUGAACCGCAUGAUUUGAUUAUCAAAGAUUUAUCGCUGAAAGAUGAGCUCGCGUCUGAUUAGCUAGUUGGUAAGGUAACGGCUUACCAAGGCGACGAUCAGUAGCCGGACUGAGAGGUUGAUCGGCCACAUUGGGACUGAGACACGGCCCAGACUCCUACGGGAGGCAGCAGUGGGGAAUAUUGCACAAUGGAGGAAACUCUGAUGCAGCGAUGCCGCGUGAGGGAAGAAGGUUUUAGGAUUGUAAACCUCUGUCUUCAGGGACGAAAAAAGACGGUACCUGAGGAGGAAGCUCCGGCUAACUACGUGCCAGCAGCCGCGGUAAUACGUAGGGAGCGAGCGUUGUCCGGAAUUACUGGGUGUAAAGGGAGCGUAGGCGGGAUCGCAAGUCAGAUGUGAAAACUAUGGGCUUAACCCAUAAACUGCAUUUGAAACUGUGGUUCUUGAGUGAAGUAGAGGUAAGCGGAAUUCCUAGUGUAGCGGUGAAAUGCGUAGAUAUUAGGAGGAACAUCAGUGGCGAAGGCGGCUUACUGGGCUUUAACUGACGCUGAGGCUCGAAAGCGUGGGGAGCAAACAGGAUUAGAUACCCUGGUAGUCCACGCCGUAAACG